UCGGUUUGGCUCUAAGCCUCGGGGGUAAAAAUAAAAUGUUUCCAUCCCCAGCCAAUCCCUGGAAAGGCAGAAGGGCACUCUUCCAAUGGGAGCCGGGCAGCCGUCGGUAGCGGCGUAGGCCCGUGCCCCUGCUCGCGCUGCAGCCCGUGGAAGGGUUCCGUCCAGCGUAUCCUUCAGAUCUUGCUGUAGGCCUCUCGUGUCUGCGCGCGCGGCAGGGGCGGCGGCGGCGACGGCCGGAGGUGUACGGUCAGCAGGUUGCGGAGGAUCGUGCGGGUAGCAAAGGCAGGCCGAGUGCUCCUGCGGCUCCCAGAGGGCAACCAGUUGCUUCCUCUACUGAAGUCUUGAAACCCCUGAAAGUCAUCCCUGAGGUUUGAAGUUAACUUCUUCUACACCCUGUUAAUGUUGAUAUUUUGACCUCCUUCCAUGAAUCACAAAUGUUCUUAAUGGCAUCUAGAAUGGUGCUGUCAACUCUCACCUGGUUUCCUUAGCUCUGGUGAAGUAUUUUCGUGUGUGGAUUGUUUUUCAAAUUGAUGUUUCUGUUGGGGGAUGAGCACUGGAAAGUCCUGCUCUGCCAUCUUGCUGCCAUCUGGACUCCCAAGAACAUGCAUCAUUAUUAGAACCAUCACCCUGCAGCUAGCUUGGAUACCAUUAAAAGGGCUCAUCAGCUGCAAACGGAUUAAAGUAUCUGGUACUCGGGAAGACAGAGUUUCAGGGUUUCUACCUGGAGCUACACCCUCAGGAAGCCCCUCCUUGGCCUCCCUUCACCCAGUCCCAUCCCAACCAGUCACAACUUGGGCUGUGCGUGGUGUUUCUUGGAAACUGGAACACAGACUCCUCCAGCAGCUCCACAGGCCCCUUGUCCUCAAUGAGCAGAAGACUACAGGAGCUGGCUACUGAAGAGGCUGUCCAAGUGAUAGAGCACCUUCUUGGCCCUGUUUAGCACAUUUACUGCAGAGCUGGAUGCUACUUAUUUGUGCUCACCACCUUCAGGGACUGCAGAGAGAUUUGUCAGACCCUGCUUCACUAAGGGCCACCCUCUAAGGAUCUCCAGAAGAGGCUGCCCAUAGAGAGAAGUGGCCUGCCUAGGGUCUCCACUUCCUCAGGUCCUACCCGGACACCUCUAGGGCUGAGGGGAUCAGUAUCUCUUCACCUACCUGUAAUCCACAUACCAAGUGGAAGAAUCUGCCUGCUAUUUUUUGUUUGUUUUGGCGGGAAGAGUUUUAACUACUGCUGUAAUUCCUUUAGUAGCUAUGGAACUGUUGAGGAUUUCUUUUUCUUCUUGAGUCAAUUUUGGUAAGAGAACAGUUUUCUAGGAGUUGGUCCAUUUUGUCUGCAUUUUCAAAUUCAUUGGCAUAAAGUUUCCUUUUUAUUCUCUGCUGUGUAUAAACUGUAACAAUGUCUCCUUUUUCAUUACUGAUAUUGGUUAUUUGUGCCUUCUCACUUUUUUUCUUGAUCAAUCUCACCAGAGGUUUAUCUAUUUUAUUAGUCUUUUCAAAGAACCAACUUUUGGCUUUGUUGCUCCUCUCUAUUGUAUCUUUGUUUUCUAUUUCUUUAAUUUCUGCUCUUAUCUUUUUUGAUCUCCUUCCUUCCACAUUUUUUGGGUUUAUUCUGUUGUUCUUUUUCUAAUUUAACUGGACAUUGAGCUCAUUAAUUUUCAUUCUUGCCCAUUUUCUAAUUCGUGCGUUUAAGGAUAUAAUUUCCCUCUAACUCCUGCUUCUCCAUAAGUUUAGAUAUGUAGUAUUUUCAUUAUUGCUCAGUUAUAAGUACUUCAUUUCCAUCAAGGUUACUUCUUUGACCUGUAAGUUAUAUAGAAAUGUGUUUUUAGAUUUCCAAAUGUUUGGGGAUUUAAAAUUUUAUCUCUUUGUUAUUGAAAUCUAUCUUAAUUGCAUUAUGGUCAGAGGAUGUGGCUUGUGUGACAACAACUCUGAAAUUUUUUAGACUUGUUUUAUGGCUUAGUAUGUGACCAAUAUUUUUGAAUACUUCCUAUGUGCUAAUUUAUAAGAAUGUGUGUUCUCUAAUUGUUGAAUACAGAGAUCUACAUAUGUCUAUUAUCAAGUUUGUGAACUAUUGUUCAAUUUUUACUUAUCUAUACUGAUUUUUUUGGUCAUUAUCUACUGAUAAUUGAAAGAGGUGUGUUAAUGUUCAACUGUAAUGGUGGAUUUGGCAAUUUCUCCUUGUAAUUCUAUCUCGUUUCUUGCUUUAUAUAUUUCGAGGGUGUUCAUUAGGAAUAUUCAAAUUAAAAAUUGUUAUAUAUUCCUGAUAAAUAUGUAAUGACCCUCUCUAUUCCUGAUAAUGCAUUUUUCUUUGAAACCUAUUUUAUCUUAUAUUAAUGUAGUAACACAAACUUUUCUUGUUGGGAUUUGUGUGGUAUAUAAUUUUCCAUCCUUUUACUUUUGAGCAUUUUCAUGCCAUUAUGCUUUAAUUAUAUCUCUUGGAAACAACAUAUAACUGGACCUUUUAAAAAAUCUAAUCUGAUUAUCUCUUUUGGUUGGCAAGUUUAGUCUGUUUACAUUUACUGUGAUGUAUUUGGGCUUGUUUCUACCAUCAUACUUUUUUAUUUCUGUUUACCACCACUACCUUUUCGGUGCUUCAUUUUCUCUUUUCUCGCCUGCUUUUUUAGUUUUGAGAUUUGUUUUCUUAUUCAAUUUUUUCCUCCCUAUUUUUAAAUUUUUUUCUAUUCUUUCUGCGGUUAUCCUUGAUGUUUUCCAUAUGUGUUUAACUUAUAAAGUCUAAAGUUAAACAAUAUUUUAGCCCCCUUCUUAAAGAAUGCAGGAAGCUUAGAAACCUUCAACUCUAGUCAUUCCUCUCCUGAUCACAUACUGUUGUUUUCAAAUAUGUUAGUUUGUUCCUUUUUAUAAACCUCACAAUUUUACAUCAUUGUCAGUAUUAUUUUAUAUAGACAGUGUUUGUUUGGACUUACAUGCAUACAUUCUUGUAUCGCAGAUCAUCCUUUGGGAUCAUUUUCUUUCAUUAUGAAUAUAGUGUUUAAGUGGGUUUUUUUUUUUAGUACAGGUCUCUUGAUGUUAAAUUCUUCCAGUUUUUCUUAUAUGUAAAUGUCUUUAUUUUAUCCUCAUUCUUAAAAGAUAGUUUGUUACAGGUAUUUUUACUCAACACUUAGAAUAUAUGGUUCCAUUAUCUUUUGGCUUUGAGAAGUCUGUUGCUAUUAAGAAGUCGACUAUCAGACUGAUUGCUGGUUGUGUGUGUGUGUGUGUGUGUGUGUGUGUGUAGUAGUAGUAGUAGUAGUAGUAGUAGAAUGUGCAGGGGGUCCUGCAGUUUUACUCUAACAUGUUUACAUAUGUAUUUUUUUUCAUUCUACUUUGGGAAUGUCAUGCUUCGUGGCUCAGUGGAUUCAUGCUUUUCGUAAUUUCUGGGAAAUUCUCAACCAUUAUCUCUUCAAAUAUUGCCUUUCAUUUUUUCUAGUUUUUCUUUCUCAGAAUACAGUUAGUCAUAUUUUGGACCUCCUCAUUCUAUCUUCUGUAUCUCAUAACAUCUCUGAGAUUUUCUAUCUCCUUGUCUUUCUGCACUUCAUUCUGGAUAAUUUCUUUAGGUAUAUCUUUCAGCUUACUGAUUCUCUUUUCAACUAUGUCUAAUCUGCUCUUUAAUCUGCCCAUUGAGUUUUUUAUUUCAAAAGUUAUAUUUUUCAUUUGUACAAACCUCAUAUAUUUUACUUGCUAAUCUGCCUAGUCAUCCCUAAUAGUCUCUUAUUGCUUGGUCAUCUUUGUGAUUACAUCUGUUAUUACUUCUUUAAAACAUUUUAUAUAAUUUUUGUUCAACCGGUAGUCACUGUUUGCAUGAGUAUGACAUUGUAAGUAUUGUUCACAUCAAAACUACAUAGUAUAUUCUGAUUACAUAUCCUUUGUUGUAUACCCUUUCGUUUUCCUUGGAGCUAAUAAUUGUGUAUUUUGUUUUCUUUUGCUUAGUGUUCUAGUACCUAUUAACUAUUCUUCUCUGAAAUUCUUUAUACAAUCCAAAUCAGAUCAUGUCCUUCCACUAUUCAGAAUUCUCCCAUGGCUCCCACCUCCCUCAACAAAAGCCAAAGCCCUCACCAUGGCCCAAAAGUCCCUACAUAAUCUGGUUCCCUUUACCUUUCUUACCUUGUCUCCUAUCACUCUCAGUAUCACUCACUCUUCUCCAGCUACACUGGCCUCCUUGCUGUUCCCCAAGUGUACUAGAUACCCUUCCUUUUCAGGGCCUUUGUACUUAUUCUUCUCACUGCCUGAAACACCCUUCCUCUUAAAUAAUCUGAUGAGUUGCCCUAGCACUUCCAGUGUGCUCAAAUGUCACCUCCCUAGAGAAGUGUUUCCUGAUCAACAUAUCUAAAAUCGCCCCAUCACAUGCAUUUUAUAUCCCUUUAUCCUACUUUAUGUAUGUUUUUCUACAAAGCACUGAUCACCACCUGGUAUAUUUUAUAUUUAUUUAUUGUGGUUAGUGUUUGUCUCUCUUCAGUAGACUGUAAGCUCCAUAAAGCAGGGACUUCUGUUUUGUUCACUGCUGUAUCCCCAGUGCCAUAAACAACAGUGCAUAGUAGACACUCAAUAAAUAUUUGUGGAAUAAACUGAAUGAAUGGAUGAAUGACUUAAUUGAUUAAUGUGGAGGAUAGAGAGAUAAAGGCCUUGAGGAGUAGGCUAGGCACAAAGGCCUUUAAUGCCAUGCUAAGGAACUUGGAUAUCAUUUUUCAUAAGGUUGGGGGCUGUGAAGAAGCAGUGAGGAUAGCUCCUGGGUUCUUUUGGGAGGCAAGUUCUCAGUUGGUAGGGUUGUGGCAAAGCCCCAUAUUUUCUGACUGGCUGUACACCCUAGGGCUCCUGAAGGCAGGCCUGCCUCUUACUCAAAUAGCCCUCAAACUGCUGUGUUGUCAUGCUGCCUGUUACCUGGUGAAAAACAAAACCCCAACUCUCAUUGGGCUUUCUGAUCCCAGCUAUCAUCCCCCUUUCUCUUGCACUGUGAGGAACUGUUUCCUGGUCCCCAGGCCAAGCGGACCACUCUCAUUAUACUUUACCUGUGGUACUUGGUGGUGGUAGGGGGGCUGCAGGGGAUGGCGUGGAAGUUGGCAUGAUACUGGACUCAUAGUAAGUGUUGUUAUAAUGGGAGAUACCCAUAGGAGGGUAAGUUACAGCUCAAAAAGAGUAUUUUUCAUUGUCAAAGUGAGAACAGGCUGUGUGGGGUUUUAGUCCUGACUUUGCCCCUAGCCCUACUGGGGCCUAGUCUGGCUCCAGUGUUUCUGCCUGCCCAUGACUCCGGAUACUAAUUCUGUUGUCUAAUGUGUGACCUACUCUCCUGUUUUGGUCAUCCACUAAUUUCAUCAGCAUGCCAUCAGAAUUAUACAGAAUGCUAUGUAUAAGUUCAGUUGAGCAAAAUUUGACCACUUACUGUGUGUCAGGCUUCCUGCUGUACACUGAAGACACAGAGAUGAACGAGGUGUGUUCCCAGACACAGAACUGUAAUUUCAGGGCAGUGUGGUCAGUGCAGUAACACUGGUGGGAAGAAUAGACUGUAAGAGCCCCUAAGGAAUACACAACCCAGCUCAGGGGACCAAGGAAGCUUUCUUGGAAGAGAUGGCAUAUGAACUAAAUCUUAAAAGAUUUAGUUUAACUUUCUAAUGUUAAACUGCUCUUGCAUUUCUGGGAUUAAACUGAACAUUUUUAUGUUGUAUUAAAUCUUACUCAUUCUGGAUGUAGUUUGCUAAUAAACUGUUUAGGAUUUUUGCAUCUUUAGCCAUCUGUAUUUGUCUGGUUAAGGUUAUAGUGAUCUUAUCCAAUAAAUAAAUCA